AGAGUGGAGAGCUGAGUCACGAGAUAGAGAGGGAGGGAGAGAGAGAGAGAGAGAGAGAGAUUCCUGAUGACAACAUUUAGACUCCUCGAUCCAGCCAUGCCUGAAGUCCUUACUGUGGACUUUCCAUUUAUGGAACCCAAUAAAUUCCCUUUGGUGUCAGUUUCUAUCCCUUGCAACCAAAAGCCAUCUUAAUGAUACGAUGCUCUACGGCUAUUUGGGUCACAACGAGGAUUAAAUGAGCUGACGAUAUAUAUGGAAUGCACGGCUCAUGGGGGCCCGUGAAAGGCAAGCUCCCAGGUAUCUCUCUUCUCCUCCCCUCUAGUGGAUAUAGCUCCGACCUAAAACCUACUAAAAGCAUUAAACCCGUUGAGAACAGGCAUGGAUGGGUUUGUCUGGUUGUGGAACAAUGAAUGCGCAAAAGCAAAACUUCACACUGCCGCCUGCACGCUCGACACCCCGUGUUCUUAAUUUAAAUUCUGAAAAGGCGACAGAGAAGCCACGGCUGUAAAUAACCGCGUGAAAUGAUGCAAAAACAAUCUCAAGAGACACCCUUUGUGUUUUCCCUGCGAGAGGACAGCCGUGGGGCAGUGCGGAGACAUGGAAAUCUGUAAAGACGGUCUUCUCCAUCUGCUCAGGAUUAAAAAGAAGUUCGCAAGUCUGCGGUGGCCAUGCCGGGCCCCUCCAGAUGCUUCCAGCUGGAGCCCCAUGAACAGGCCCUGCGGCCUGGCCCACCGAGCGCACUCAGGCUGCGGCCUGGUUGCCAGAAGCGCCUCCCCCAGCCAAGCCCCCCACUGCUUGGCUUUCCGUGCCCCUCCCGCCCUGCCUGCCACCAACGGCUUUGAACCAGCAGGUCAAGGACCAGAGCCAACCCACAGAUGCGUUUUGUUUUGUUCUCUUUUAUUUUGUGUUGUUUCUUUGGAGCUGGCCAUCAAAGCUCCGGAGGUUUCGCAGGGAACUGUGGAUACCGGUUUGUCUUGACAAGGUGGGAAGGUCUUGCAGUCCUGAGCCUGCCGUCCUCGUCCUCCCCGCUCCACCCCAGUGGGGGCUGCAGCUUAGCAGCGUUUGGGCCCUCACCCGAGUUUCCGUGGCCCCCAAAGCAGGCUCUGACACCGGGACCUGGGUGCAAGUAGUUUAUUAGGGAGAGGAUCCCAGGAGGUGAUGAUGGGGGUGGGGAGGAGAGGGCAGUGACUGCGUCUCUGGGAUACUGCUGGGUGCCUCUGGGACAAGGCGCAGAGCAGGCCUCAGCGUCCUGCUACCGGAGGGGCCGGGGAACUGGGCUGUUGCCCUGCAGCUCCUGUCUGUCACUGGUUGGGGCUGGAUCCGGGGUAUUAACCCCCUGGCACUGCCCAUCUGCCCAAGAGAAAAACCUCAGGUGGAAAGUCACAGAUGGAGAGUCACCCUACACAGAUGGAGAGUCACCCUACACGCUGUUGACAUGUCCCAGAAAGGGCU
rnacentral:lncRNA from 1 species